rnacentral:miRNA from 12 species
UGUUUCAUAAGCUGACGUGGGACA